rfam:Oryza glaberrima chromosome 11 Oglab11_0302_2, whole genome shotgun sequence.
GAUAUCAACUGAAAAAGUCAUCAACAACAAAGUUGAAUAACUCAUCAAGAUCUAAAACUUUUAUUUUGGUCAUUUCUUCAUACGACAAAGUGAUAUUAAUAUUGUUCACAAAAUUGACAUAUCUCUUAUCUGGUUUUAUAAAAUUAUAACACAUAUAUGUAAAAUUUGUGAAUAAUAUUACUAACAUUUCGUCGGAUGAAGAAAUAACAAAAAUAAAAGUUUUAGAUCUUGAUGAGUUAUUCAACUUUGUUGUUGAUGACUUUUUCAAUUGAAAUC